GACGAACGCUGGCGGCGUGCUUAACACAUGCAAGUCGAACGGAAAGGCCCUGCUUUUGUGGGGUGCUCGAGUGGCGAACGGGUGGGUAACACGUGAGUAACCUGCCCUUGACUUUGGGAUAACUUCAGGAAACUGGGGCUAAUACCGGAUAGGAGCUCCUGCUGCAUGGUGGGGGUUGGAAAGUUUCGGCGGUUGGGGAUGGACUCGCGGCUUAUCAGCUUGUUGUUGGGGUAGUGGCUUACCAAGGCUUUGACGGGUAGCCGGCCUGAGAGGGUGACCGGCCACAUUGGGACUGAGAUACGGCCCAGACUCCUACGGGAGGCAGCAGUGGGGAAUAUUGCACAAUGGGCGGAAGCCUGAUGCAGCAACGCCGCGUGCGGGAUGACGGCCUUCGGGUUGUAAACCGCUUUCGCCUGUGACGAAGCGUGAGUGACGGUAAUGGGUAAAGAAGCACCGGCUAACUACGUG
rnacentral:rRNA from 1 species